GUCUCAAAUGUCCUUUUCUCAUGCAAGAGAAGCUCCUGAAGCAUCCAAAGAAGAGUCCAUGUGCCUAAGGAAUUUGCCUACUGUCCCAAAGUAAUCAAGUCAGGAAUCAGAGGAUUUGGCUUCUCUGAGGCCUGAGUCUGCC
rnacentral:lncRNA from 12 species